CGUUGUUGGGUAGGGGAGCGUUCUGUAAGCCUGUGAAGGUGGCCUGUGAGGGUUGCUGGAGGUAUCAGAAGUGCGAAUGCUGACAUAAGUAACGAUAAAGCGGGUGAAAAGCCCGCUCGCCGGAAGACCAAGGGUUCCUGUCCAACGUUAAUCGGGGCAGGGUGAGUCGACCCCUAAGGCGAGGCCGAAAGGCGUAGUCGAUGGGAAACGGGUUAAUAUUCCCGUACUUGGUGUUACUGCGAAGGGGGGACGGAGAAGGCUAUGUUGGCCGGGCGACGGUUGUCCCGGUUUAAGCGUGUAGGUGUGUGUUCCAGGUAAAUCCGGUUCACUUUAACACUGAGGCGUGAUGACGAGGCACUACGGUGCUGAAGCAACAAAUGCCCUGCUUCCAGGAAAAGCCUCUAAGCAUCAGGUAACAUCAAAUCGUACCCCAAACCGACACAGGUGGUCAGGUAGAGAAUACCAAGGCGCUUGAGAGAACUCGGGUGAAGGAACUAGGCAAAAUGGUGCCGUAACUUCGGGAGAAGGCACGCUGACAC
rnacentral:rRNA from 1 species